rnacentral:rRNA from 1 species
UACGUAGGGGGCUAGCGUUGUCCGGAAUCAUUGGGCGUAAAGAGCGUAUAGGCGGCCUGGUAAGUCCGCUGUAAAAGUCAAAGGCUCAACCUUUGAAUGUCAGUGGAUACUGCCGGGCUAGAGUCCGGAAGAGGCGAGUGGAACUCCUGGUGUAGCGGUGGAAUGCGCAGAUAUCAGGAAGAACACCAACGGCGAAGGCAGCUCGCUAGGACGGUACUGACGCUGAGACGCGAAAGCGUGGGGAGCGAACAGG